CGCUGGGGAAAAGAAAAAUGUUUUGUGUUUUUGCCACUGCCCCAUUGGUUUGUGGGCCUGUGUGUUCCUGUAGAGGCCUGACUCACUUCUCCUUCGUCACAGAGCUCCCAGCAAUGUCCUGGCCACAUUCUCAUUAAGGUCCCAAUGGUGAGCAAAACCUCAGUGUCAGAUGGAACACACUGUGAUGACCUGUGGAUAGAAGUUUUUUUUCUUUUCCAGUCGACUUGCUAAUGUCUGCUGGCGUUCUUUUAGCUAAAGUCUUGAGAUCUGCUCCUGGGCCAGGAGGUGGGGAGACAAUGCAGAAAUUGCUUCCUCUGGAACAGCCUUCAUUGGAAUUCUGCGAAAGUGAAGGCCAUUUGGAACUUAGAGAGAGAGGUGACCCCAUAGGUUCUCUUUCUGGAAAGGAUUUGUGUAACAGGCUGGUACAUGGAUGCCUAUUCCACCCAAGGACCACGAGAAGAGCCAGCAGAACGGCUGAUCAAAGCUCAAGAGCAUGGCUGUUUUCCUCAGAGCUUCAGGCAGCUGCUUCUCCCCUCCUGGGGGCUCCAGUGGCGAUGGAGAUGGGUCCUCAGGUUAAGAGCAGAGACUGCAUUGAUCCCUUAAACCUGCCUUUCAGCUUCAAACCUUCGGAAGUGUUCUCCGAAGCCUCCAUAAAACCAAGGGAAACACAGGUAAGCAGCCACCAGAAAGCUCCUUGGCCACCCUCCCCGCCAGCCAUGACCUUCC
rnacentral:lncRNA from 1 species